UUAGAAUCUAGACUACUGUUAAAUCUUCAGUGGUCUAAUUGUCCAUACAGAGCUGUAUGUUUAUACAGAAACAUGUUAACUAGAUAACAGAGAGCAAGGACUAUAUUUUUUUUCUGUCUUUUCUCAGCAUAGUUUGAACGUAUAGUGUCCAUGGGACUGUUCCUGCUGUACCCGCUGCUGAUAUAAGACUCUGUCAUCUUUAUCCAUCUGAACCAGCCUGACCUAAUUCUCUUGCCUGCUGCUGAUUUGGCCAAUAGGGAGUCAGUAAGAUACUUAGUAUCUAGAGAUCUCCCUGAAGCUCCCAUAUCUGCACCCAAACUGACUGAACCUGUGGUGAGAUACCUUCCUCAUCGUUGUGCAUGAGAUCCUCUGACCAGGACGAGAGAAACCUCAUGAGCUCUCCUUAGAGCUGGCAGAAAUCAGACCCGACAACAGACAGACAAACUGAGUGUGCUAAUGCACACCUUUAAGCCCAGCUUUAGGGAAGGCGAAACAGGAGAGUUUGCAAGUUGGAGACCAACCUGGCACACAUUCUGGCUGUGGUGCAGAUCAGUGGUACAAGGCUUGCUUAGCAUGUGUAAGGCCUUGGGUUUGAUCCCUAGUAUUGUCCUUUCUGUCAGUCUAGGCAAACUGAUGAACAAUCACAGUUAUUAUAGUAUAGGAGUAAUACUAUGAUCUGUUUUAAGCCAGCCGUCAUACGUUUGUUUUAAUUGUAUCCACAUUUGGUAUGUGUAACAGAGUCAAGUGUAAGUCAUUACACUUCAAUAUUCAAAUGGUGUUGAAAUAUUUUGACAUGUCACCUGAUAAGUAUGUGCUCUGACACUAUUGUAAAGAAACUUCUUUCCUAUUUUCUCCCUCUUAUGGCAAUUAUAAAUCAUCAUACAUCUUC